CUUAAAAUAUUCUCAAAAGGGUUGGGUAAAGAAGAACAAAAACAGGAAGUGCAAUGAGAGAAUUAGGGGUUGUAAGAUCACACCUGUGUCUCCAGAUCUAAAUCUUCCCUUUAGUCUGGCUUGACAAAUGCUGGUGAUAAAC
ensembl:snoRNA SNORA72 Small nucleolar RNA SNORA72